AAAAACUGAAUGGUUGAAAUGACCAAAAAAAAAGGUUGCAACCAUUUAAAAUGGUUGUUUCAACCAAUUAAAUUGGUUAAAACCAAAUUAAAAUGGUAGAAAUAACCAAUAAAAAAUUGGUAAAAUGGAUAUGAAAGCUCAUAUUGGUAAAAACAACCAAAUAUAUUUAGUAGCAACAAAUAAAAUUUGGUUAAAUUUACCAAUUACUCUUUGUGGUCAAUGGGGUAUAUUUGUAGACUUCUGGUUCUAUGUUCUAUUGAAUCCAAUAAAAUAUGCUAGAAUGCUAUAGCACAUUCUAAAUCCUAUGGCUAUAGAAUAUUCUAUAGGACUUCUUAUGAUCUUAUGCUAUAUAGAAUUCCAUUGCCGUAUUCUAUAGAAUUCACAAAUCCUAUAGAAUUUACAAAUCCUAUAGAAUAUUAAAUCUUAAAAUUAAAUUUCUCAGCAAAAAUCACUCGUUUUGUAAGGACAAAUCACACAUGCAUGUAUCUGUAAACUGUCUUCAUAAUAUACCUGUUCGCAGGUUACGUGGCGGGCGUUUUGCCCAAAGAGGACCGCAAGGUUAUGUGGGACUUGUAUAACCGACACGCGUUAUUUUCAAAUUUUGAGCGCGUCUUUGACUCUUUGUCAUCGGUUCAAGGUUUUAUAGUAGAAUUUAGUGAGUUUUUCUUUCGUAUUUUAACAUAAAAUACGCGUUAUUUGAAUUUGUCAAUGAGUAGUCAUGCGAAAUUGGUGAAACACGCUGGAUUAAUAUGCGAGGAGAUCCGGAUUAUUUGUGAAUAGUGACUGUGAUCGCGAGGAAGAAGUAAUUGUGUCAUGGCCAUGUGGAAUUUCUAAAGUUGAUAAGAAAAUAAUCAAAGGUUCCAUUCAACUAUCUACAAUUUCAACAACAACAUGUGUACAGCUAAAGUAUUAUAAUUCAGUGGCUUCAAGAUCACCUUUAAGUGCAAGAUUCUUGUGACUGAUGCUGAAUCAGAAAUCCUCAAAUUCUGAUGCUGAAUCAGAAAUCCUCAAAUUCUGAUGCUGAAUCAGAAAUGGCAAGUAUUAUUGUAUUUAUGCUGUCAAAACUCAACAACUGUAAAUCCUACUUCUGGUGAAUCAUAUAGAUAAUAUAAUAUACCUUUUAUUUAUAUCAUUAUAAAUAGGGCCAUUACAACUAUUUCUGUCAAUGCUUUUGCAGUACAUUUAUAAAUUCUAUAGCUAUAUCAUGGCAUCAUGCUAAGAAUGAAUAAGGUGUCAAAUGUUUAAAUUUCAUAUUUACUGUUAAAAUUUACAGAUUUUCUUAUAUCCAAACAUAUUAACCAAAGGUCAAAAUUUGGUUUAUGCAAUUAUGGGCAUGUCAAGGAUGCAAGAACAACUUUGCUCUCAUUCCAUCCCUGGGAAACUUUCAAAUUAUGCCUUUAAAGAAAAGGAUGCAAAACCCCAACUCGACCCAGAGAAAGUUAAGAGUAUAUGUGGUAAGUAGUAAUUGUUAGUAACUAUUUGUGGAAGUUAAUAUAUCUUAUAUACAUAUCUUGGUUUAUCUAAUUGUUGACUUUUACUUUUUCUGUGUGUAGAGCAUCAUUUCGAUGCACAUGGUUAAGAUGCCCAAACAUUGAUUCAAAGAAGCCAUCAAUGCUGGCUGUUCUGGAAAAGAACAAGAACAAAGAUGUCCAACACAUUAUUGGUCUAUUAGAGGAUUGUCACCCGAACUAGAAAAAGGAUGACAGUGGUGUUGAAAUUUAGACCAUUGUAAAAAAAGAACAUUCCCGAAGUUGCUAUUAACUGGAUCUCUUGGUUACAUCCAUUCACUGGACCUUUUGGCUGAAGGCAUGGUAGCAAUAAAGUUUAAGCAGUUUUCCAUCUUAAAUGCUGUUGUGUGUUUGCUGACUGCAUUGUAUGUAUCCAACGCAGAGAACCCUAAAGAUGGAGGUGGGUAGACAAAGAAUGUGUUCCUUCUUCUGGACCAGAUAUUACUACAAACAAACGGAAAAACGAACAUUCCAAUUGGAGUUAAAAACUUUUUACCGCAGCUUUGAGAACCUGGAAAUGACUUAAGUAUAGAUAGAUGAAUCCUAGUAAGAUAAGUGUUUGAAUGUAGUACUUUGUAUAUAUGUAUAAAUGCAAAUAACCAUUAGGAUAAUUUAUUUAUUAUAUUAGAUCUUUUAUAAUACAUAUGUGUGUUUUGACAAAAUUUGAUUUGAAGUGCUCUGAAUUUCAGGAUAAUUUAACCAAUCCUUAAUUGGUUGAAAUAAUUGGUCAAAAAAACCAUUGCACAUUGGUUACAUUAACCAAAUUCAAUAUAGGUUACAUCAACCUAUUAAAUAUUGGUAGAUUCAACCAAUAUUAAUAUUGGUAAUUUUAACCAAAACGAAUUUGGUAAAAAAAUAACCAAAUUUUAAUUGGUUGUCCUGGUUGCAUCCAGGAGAACCUUUUUUUUUUGGUUGUUUCAACCAUUCAUUUUUU